rnacentral:lncRNA from 1 species
GGGCAUGGCGGAGCCGCGAGCGAGGGCGGCGCGGCUCGGGCCCCAGCGCUUCCUGCGGCGCAGCGUGGUGGAGUCGGACCAGGAGGAGCCGCCGGGCCUGGAGGCGGCCGAGACGCCGAGCGCGCAGCCCCCACAGCCCCUGCAGCGCAGGGUGCUUCUACUCUGCAAGACGCGCCGCCUCAUCGCGGAGCGCGCCCGGGGCCGCCCCGCCGCGCCCGCGCCUGCCGCGCCCGCUGCGCCUCCUGGCUCCCCGAGUGCCCCCUCGGACCCUGGCCCGGAGCGAGCGGGCACGCAGGAGCCCAGCCCAGAUCCCACCACCGCGUCAGCUGCAGCCACCCCGGUCCCCGACGGCGGCCCGCGGCAGGAGGAGGCGCCCGCCCCAACCCAGGAGGACA